rnacentral:rRNA from 1 species
UGGUGGGUAGUUUGACUGGGGCGGUCUCCUCCUAAAGAGUAACGGAGGAGCACGAAGGUUGGCUAAUCCUGGUCGGACAUCAGGAGGUUAGUGCAAUGGCAUAAGCCAGCUUGACUGCGAGCGUGACGGCGCGAGCAGGUGCGAAAGCAGGUCAUAGUGAUCCGGUGGUUCUGAAUGGAAGGGCCAUCGCUCAACGGAUAAAAGGUACUCCGGGGAUAACAGGCUGAUACCGCCCAAGAGUUCAUAUCGACGGCGGUGUUUGGCACCUCGAUGUCGGCUCAUCACAUCCUGGGGCUGAAGUAGGUCCCAAGGGUAUGGCUGUUCGCCAUUUAAAGUGGUACGCGAGCUGGGUUUAGAACGUCGUGAGACAGU